CCAAUAGCGUAUAUUAAGGUUGCUGCGGUUAAAAAGCUCGUAGUUGAAUUUCGGGAUUGAUGCAUCGGUCGUGCCUUAAGGGGUAUGAACUGGUGUGGUCAAUUUCUUACCUUCUGGUGAAUUGUGAUGUCCUCCUUAAUUGGGUGUUUCAAUGAACUAGGACUUUUUACUUUGAAAAAAUUAGAGUGUUUAAAGCAGGCAUUAUUUGCUUGAAUACAUUAGCAUGGAAUAAUAAAAUAGGACAAUGAUUCUAUUUUGUUGGUUUCUAGGAUCACUGUAAUGAUUAAUAGGGAUAGUUGGGGGCAUUAGUAUUCAAUUGUCAGAGGUGAAAUUCUUGGAUUAAUUGAAGACUAACUACUGCGAAAGCAUUUGCCAAGGAUAUUUUCAUUAAUCAAGAACGAAAGUUAGGGGAUCGAAGACGAUCAGAUACCGUCGUAGUCUUAACCAUAAACUAUGCCGACUAGGGAUCGGAUGAUGUUAAUUUUUUAAUGACUCAUUCGGCGCCUUACG
rnacentral:rRNA from 1 species